rnacentral:lncRNA from 1 species
GCAUAAAAUCAGGAAUUUAAUUCCCAAUUAAAUUUUCCUUGAUAGAAAACUUAUUGAAAAAUUCCAAAGUAAUUUUUCAGGAUUUUAGGAAACGUUUUUAGCUGUAAAAAAAAUUCAAAACCGUGGCUUUCUGCUGUAGAGGCAGCAACGGUUUUGACUCCACCAACUCAGUUUUAUGAAAGCUUAAUUCUAGGGAUUUAAAUCCUUAACAUUCUUGGCAGCAAUUUGGAUAAUUUAUGGAACCUUUUCAUAAAAAAACAUCCUCAGCCAAUUGGUGCAACUAAUUGCACAAAUUUAGGCCUUUAUUGGUUGCCAAGCCAAACCAAACUAUGACUGUCUCUGUUGCAAACAGCAACUGUUUUAUCCACGUUUUGGUAACUUUACCUCCACCAUUAGCCACACAUAAUCACCCAUAUUGGAACAUUUCCAAUGUGUAUUGACCUCUUAAUUUUCCAGCAUUUUAUGAAGUACUUAAGCCUCACUUUUAUGGCAGAAAAUGGAGCCAUACCAUGGCUGGACAGAAUCGAAUUCUACCAUUUAAAUCACACCAUAAUGUCAUGAGAUCGAAUCUUUAUUUGUUAAAUUAAUUUGUGCAUCUCAUGCACUUGUUAAUCUGCAAUAUUUUGACAUUAAAACGAGAUUAAUAUUAUGACAAAUAAAUUUUAAAAUUUACAAUUAAAAUCUAUUUAGAAAUCAAAACAACUAGAACAAAUUGUAAAAUUUUAAAACUUACUAAUUUGUGUAGAACAAUACCCGAACACCUCAUAUUCCUUUUCAACAAGGCAUUAACAAUAAUAGACAUAAACAUGUGCUAAAAUUGAACCAAGGAAGGCUUUGAUACCACUAAUGGGUUUCACUAUGGAUGGCAUGCUCAAAAUACACAGCGGAAAGAAAAUUAAAAACUUUAUAACUGAACAACAAAACAUGCCUCUGCCCAUGGAUCACUUUGGUGAUAUUUAACACAUAAAAGCACAAAAUAAAUUAUUGUUUAGAAAGUUACCUUGCCAUGUAAUUUCGUAAUCACGAUGGCACUUUCCGAAGCAAUCCCAUGAACACCACAAGGAGCCAAAACCCUAGCUAAUCAAGUGCUUGGCCUCCAGUGGUAGUAUACACGAUUACACUUGAACCUUCAACAAAGGAUGGAGUUUUUAACUAUACUUUGUGCUAGCAAAGAGGACAACAAUUGUCCUUUUCAUAUUUUUCACAAUCUUAGCCGAACCUCUCUCGAAAAUUGCUUCAUAAGCAAUUUUCUCUUUCACACAAAGGGAGUGGUGGCAAAGAAAGAAAACGUUUUUCUUUUUUUGACAAAAACUAGGUUUUCUUCAAUUGUGAAAAACACUCAUAUGGAAAAUGGUUGAAAGGUGACUUAUAUAGUUAGGUUAAAAUAACUUCAAUUUUGUAAUUAAGCCCUCAAUAUUAUAACACAUUAUAAUAUUGGGCCCAUUACUUAAUUAAGCUCUUCUAAUUAAGUCCUUGGAAAUGAAAAUCAAAAUUAAUUUCCUUUAUAUUUUGCAAUCAAGGCCUUAUAAUUAUAACUAUUUAUAAUUAUGCCAAAAACUUAAUUAAACUCUUUUAAUUAAGUUUAUAGAAGUUAAUUACCUAGCAUCCCAUAACCUUUCUCGAUAAUUAUAUUACCAGCUUACCUCUGUCAAAUCAAAAGAUUUCUAUACACAUUUAGUGAUUUAAACUGCUACUUUACAUUCCGUUCGAGUCAUACAUAAUAAAAGCCAACUCUUAACUCCUUUGUACAGGUAACUACUACAUUUUCCCUUUUUACUUUUCUAUUUUAUUCCCAUAGGUCAAGUUUAAUCCAUGAAUAUUAGGGUAUAAUCAACUCCAAAUUACCCUUUUGAAUGUUGGAGUAGGAUUUAAUUUACCUCCUACCAUAAAUUGUUUCUUAUGUAAUCAAUACGGGUUCUCAUUGUGCCUAUGCAUAACUUCACAUAAUUUACAUGCUUAUACUCUUUUUUUAUCAUUUCUAACCCUAUGUAUAAGCUCCAUUAUGCCGCGCAUCCUUGCAUCAUAAUGUCAUUAACCACAUUUCAAUCAUUAAAUAUCAUUUUCACCCAAUCACAAUCCGAUAUCCACAUAUACUUUAACUUUAUGAUUUUAUUGAUCCUUCAAAGGUUUUCUUUAAAUCAUCCUUGCAGCUUAUGCAAUAUCACAAUUCCUAAAAGUCAUCUUCGUUUAUCUUUUACCUUGUAUACUUCCAUUAUAUAUGUCCUUAUUUGUUUCCAUGUUAGUUAGUUACUUAAGAUUUAAAUUCAUUGAAGUCGUGUGCACUUCUUACAUUUUGAAUACUAGUUUCCCACGUUAGGAAAUUUUUCAUUAACCAACUUCAUUAUCAGGAUUACCUUCAAUCAUCUUGUACUAUUUCUUUACACUAAUAUAUUCAUUCGUUCUAUUUAGCGUCUGCACAAUCAACUCUGAUAUUUAUAAACUUAAUAUAGAUUUUACUGAGGUAUCCCUCGACAUCAUCCCCAAUAUCUAAUUUCAAUCUCACAUCAAGCAGCCUCAUAACUUAUGCUUUAACCAUUAAACUCCUUGACAAUUCCAAGUUCCACAUUUCCUUAUCAUGUAUAUAAAUAUUUUAAAGUAUUACUAACAAUUAUUCUUAACACUUGCAUUUUGGUCUAUUCGUUUCAAAACUCUUAUACAUUGCCAAUAUAUAAGUCAACAAAGGAACUUUCCAAUUCAUUCAUAUCAAUAACUUCCAAAACCUUAAAACUGUAAUUAACGAAGCUUAACAUCAAGUCAAAUAACCUUAAUUCAAUUCGUAAGUUCAACUUCCCGUCUUUCACCUCUUAUUCCACAGUCUCUAUAACAGGUGUUUCUAACCAACUGUUCUACUAGAGGGGUAUAAACUACAAUUUCCUCUUCUAAAAGUGACAGGUUUCUAUCAGAAAAGGAUGCGAAUGUCUCGCUCACAUAAGAUCUAUCUGAACCAGAAUCCAUUAAGACAUAAGCAUCUCUGUCAAAUACAAACAUGGUACCUGUCACUGCACUGGGUCGAACUUGUGUCUCUUCCUCUCCUAACUAAUCUAGCGAGAGGUGGGAGUCCACUUCAAGGUGACAUAAUAAUUUAUAAGAAGAACUAGAACGAGUUUAGACAACUUCAGUUUCUAUAUGCAGAUGCAUGCAUUCAACUCAAUCUAAUCUAACUUGGGGCCACAUUGACACUGUAGUUUUUAAAAUAACUUUAAAAUCAAAAGCUCUGAUGCCAAUAGAAAUGUCAUGACCCGGUACUCCUUUCAAGCCCGUGACAUCCGUCGCAAUGUCUCAAUAGAUAUUCAUUACCCGGAAUGUCAACCGAAACCUCGCAAGGCUCUCGCAUCAGUUUUACAUCUCCCCUAUGAGCAAUAGUUACUAAAUAUCAUGUUUUAAGGGAAUAUAAACUAUUUUUAAAUCAAAACAAGCAAAAAAAUAAUUUCUACCACAAAGGGGUAUUUUGGUCAUUUUUACUUGAAAGUUUUGAAACCUGGUAAAAAUACAGCAUCCGAUCGAAAAAUAUAUAUUUCUUAUCUAAAAAUAAUUUGAGUAAUCUAAAUCAUCCAUUUAAAAUAAAAUUUUGGCUAAUCAAACUAAACAAAAAUAUUAAAUAAAAUAUUCCAUUUUCUUAUAAAACAAUAUUUAUAGAACGCUGUGUAAAUAAUUUUUGUAGUGUAAAAGCAAAAUAAAUUCAUACAUACAGUGGCACACGCAGCCAGGUAUACAAAAUAUUGUACAUUGACAUGUGGGCCCCCAAAAUAAACAUAUAUGUACAAGAUUAUAGACUUGCGAUUUCUAAGGGUGCAAAUCCAAAAGCAAGCCCUCGACAUAAUCAGCGGUCUACAGACUGCCCUGAACUUGAAAUGGGUGAAAAAAAGGAGUGAGUUUUUAUAAACCCAGUGAGUAAGCAAAUUUCAUCUAAAACAUCUAAAGCCGAGUAAAUGGAGACAAUUUAAAAUAUCUCAUCAUAAUAUGAUUCAUAACAUCAAAUCUCAUUUCAUUUCAUAUAAAUCAAUUUCAUUUUAUAAAAAUCAACAAGGCUUAUGAUUCUCGUAAAAACUUGGCUCGUGCCAAAAACUUGCACUCGGUGACACCUUGCGCCGAGGCAUCCAACCGAGUCCGCCAAGGCUGUUUAAAUAACAUAUAAGUAUAAAACUCAUUUUUUUACAUUUAAAAGCAUAACCUUUCCUUGGCGUUGGUUGAGUUUCACCUUCACGUGGUGGUUCGGCGUGAAGUGAACUCUAACGUUGCCUUAGGAGAUACCCUCCGCGCCUCUCGUACUAAGGUAAAAUAAAAUGGGGUUUAUCGUGCCCUUCUAAUAGGCUGGUCCACAGAAACCCGCCCACUGUAAUAAGCUAAUCAAAUAACCCACCAAUUCAAUAAAAUUUUCGACAACAUGACAUGGCUAAUAUAAUAUUACCAGCCUGUCCAGGCAAAGCAAAACAGUUCAUAUAUUCCACACAAACACAAAUCCAGCCAUGCUUGCCAUCAAUUCAAACCAUAUGUCAAAACUUAUAUAUAACACAAGUAUACAGUCUCCACUUACUCAAUUUCCAAAACCAGUAUUCAAUUUCAAAACAAGUUAUAAAUCUCUUUUUGUUUAAUCAACACCUCAAUUAUAAAACAUAAUAGUUUGCAAUUUAAAUUCAUUUUUCUUUAAAACAUAAAAAUGAGUAUAAACUACUUUAGAUAGUUAAGAUGAAAGUCUGAUUACUCACCGUAACAGGAGUAUGGAGUACUCCUAUUCUUGGUCCUCGGGUACGAUAUCCUUACUCUUACUAGAAGGCUCACAACCUAUAAAUAAUACACGACACGUAAUUCAAUAUAUUUGUGUCAAACUGUUAUAAAACUAUUUCAGGCUUUAUAUAUGAAUGCAUGACAAUGAAUGAGAAUUGUUCGAAUAAUCACUUAAAGACAUUGUUCUAUGUGGGUUCAAUUAUGAUUGGACUGAAUUGGCAUUCAACCUAACUCGCACUAUGCCUUGUUUAAUUAGCCAAAACAUCCAAUUCAACUAUAAAUAUCGUCAUUACACUUCCAAUAUUCCAAAUACACCAAAGCAUUACAAUGAACUUGAUUUUUGACUAACUUCACCAUGUUCCAAAAUUCAUUCUGAUUCCGAACUAACAUACUAAUCAAUGUCUACACAGUCUCGUAAAUCCAUAUAUAUCAUUAGGAAUCAAAUCCAAGUCCAUUUACUAUGAUUUUCUCAUUUUCCAUCAAGCCAUUUUCUAACGGAACUAUACUUUUCAAUAAUCGGUUUCGAUAUCCAACAUCAUAAUUCAUCAAUUCCUAGCUAAAUAACAUGAAUUACAACCAAAUCCAUCAUCAACAUGCCCUAUAGAAAAUUUGGCCAAAUGAGGGUGAUUGAAGAACAUGUGAUUUUCUUGCUUGUUUUUCCUUCCAAACAUCACAAAAUGACUAAAAACAUUAGGAUAUUAUGAAAUCUAGCAAAAUUCAUCACCAAAACUUCUUUCUCUAGAUUUGGCCAGCAAAGGUUCCCUCUUGAAAACUUGAAUUUCAGCCAUGGAGAAUGAAAAAGAAUGCGUGGCAAAGGUAGAUCACAAGAUAAAAUUAAAAAAUCUUACCUUUACUUGCUUGAUUCCUUGAUAUCCAACAAUUUCUCUUGAAUUUUUUCCUUCCUAGGGUUUGUUCUUCUCUUUUUC